AAAGAGUAUAAUUAGGUGGCGGCUUUAUGCAAUGCAGAAUCAAAUGUUUUGUAUGAAUCCCUCUUACACACUGACACAAGCUCAUUCUCCCUCUCUUGGCCAUUCCAUCACGAUGACUUCCUUCUCCGCUAAAGUUCAAACUGUUUCCAUACCAUAUACCCAACUAAAGGACAAAAAUGCUGAUUUAUCCGCAAAAAUUGAACAAGGUUUUGGCCCAAAUGGUCUUGGAAUUCUAUCCAUAUCCGAGGUUCCUGGUUAUUCACUGUGGCGACAGAAUCUUCUCCAGCUUGGUCCCAGGUUAGCCAACCUUCGUGAAGAUGUGAAGAGGGAGAUUGAAGAUCCUAAAAGCAGGUACAACUUUGGAUGGAGUCAUGGAAAAGAAAAGCUUGAAUCUGGAAAGCUAGAUUUGCUAAAAGGAUCUUUCUAUGCAAAUCCAAUAUUAGAUGUACCUACGACAGAGCAAUCCCUCAUUGAACGGUAUCCAUCAUAUUGUGGGUCAAAUAUAUGGCCUCAUAAGGCUCUGCCAGAACUUGAAACAGCCUUUAAAACUCUUGGAAAGCUGAUACUGGAUGUGGGAUUACUCUUGGCGUAUCACUGUGAUCGCUAUGCAUCCAGAGAGAUGGUGAUGCUUGAGGGUGAAGGCCUUGAACAAACACUUGUUCAUUCUAGAUGUCAUAAAGGUCGUCUGCUUUACUAUUUUCCAGCUCAUCAUAGCAGCCCCGCCCAUGCUUCUAUGUCAUCAUGGUGUGGAUGGCAUACAGAUCACGGUUCUCUUACGGGUCUUACUCGUGGCAUGUUUACUAGAGACUCUGUAGAUAUACAUAGCCCUGAUAGUGAUGCUGGCCUAUACAUAAAAACACGAACUGGUCAAAUAGUCAAGGUGGAGUAUGGGGUGGAUGAAAUAGCAUACCAAAUAGGUGAAACAACUGAGAUCCUCUCAAGUGGUCGACUUUGUGCGACACCACACUGUGUUCGGGAAAGAUGACUUUGGAGCCCAUAAUUCUGACAUGGGGCCUCGGUGGACAUCAAAAACAUGAGAAGACGACCGAAGUAGUUAACAAAUUAUGAGAUCCAGAAUGAGAGCAAUUGACCAGUAAAAUUGCAGAUAAUGUGAAAUCUGGCCAAUUGCUCAAGACAUGGUAUAAGGCUCAAAAACUUGUAAGCCAAUUAUUUUUCUACCAAAAAGCUUCUAUCUUGCUGCUUUCUUUCUAUAAUAUUCAUUUGUCUUAGACAUGGAAGCCUAUCACUCAAAUUAUGCCAGUCAAGUGCUUGUGUGUUCUGUAUGUAUUUAUAUUUGGGUGGACGGAGUAAUUCGUGUUUUCCAGUUCUUGAAAAAUUAGAGGUUUUAUUUCCGAAAGAAGAGAAGUUCUUGAAAUGUUUGGUGUUGUAACUUAUAUCUGUUCAUACUUUUUAACAGGCACCAAGGGGUGAUGCAGCAUCUGGUGUUGAUCGCACAACAUUUGCAUUAUUCAUGCAACCUGAUUGGGACCAAAAGCUUUCUUUUCCAGGAGAGGUGCAUAUUCAUCGGGAGUUGAUUCAAUCCAAUGAGUCGCUUACUUUUGGAGA